rnacentral:rRNA from 1 species
AUUGAACGCUGGCGGCAGGCCUAACACAUGCAAGUCGAGCGGAUGAAGGGAGCUUGCUCCUGGAUUCAGCGGCGGACGGGUGAGUAAUGCCUAGGAAACUGCCUGGUCGUGGGGGAUAACGUCCGGAAACGGGCGCUAAUACCGCAUACGUCCUGAGGGAGAAUGUGGGGGAUCUUCGGACCUCACGCUAUCAGAUGAGCCUAGGUCGGAUUAGCUAGUUGGUGGGGUAAAGGCCUACCAAGGCGACGAUCCGUAACUGGUCUGAGAGGAUGAUCAGUCACACUGGAACUGAGACACGGUCCAGACUCCUACGGAAGGCAGCAGUGGGGAAUAUUGGACAAUGGGCGGAAGCCUGAUCCAGCCAUGCCGCGUGUGUGAAGAAGGUCUUCGGAUUGUAAAGCACUUUAAGUUGGGAGGAAGGGCAGUAAGUGAAUACCUUGCUGUUUUGACGUUACCAACAGAAUAAGCACCGGCUAACUUCGUG